rnacentral:rRNA from 1 species
UACGUAGGAUGCGAGCGUUGUCCGGAAUUAUUGGGCGUAAAGGGCUCGUAGGCGGUUUGUCGCGUCGGGAGUGAAAACCUCGGGCUUAACUCGGGGCUUGCUUUCGAUACGGGCAGACUGGAGGUAUGCAGGGGAGAACGGAAUUCCUGGUGUAGCGGUGAAAUGCGCAGAUAUCAGGAGGAACACCGGUGGGGAAGGCGGUUCUCUGGGCAUGACCUGACGCUGAGGAGCGAAAGUGUGGGGAGCGAACAGG